rnacentral:misc_RNA from 1 species
UUUCCGUAGGUGAACCUGCGGAAGGAUCAUUAAUAAUAAGUGUUCUACUGCACUUUUUAAAAUAGUACUCACCUUGUGUGCAAUGUUUGUUGGACUCUUUCGUGAGUCUGACAUUUAUACCAACCUUUUAUAUUAUGAACCACUUUGUCUGAGAAAUAUUAUGAAUACUUAACUCUAAAUACAACUUUCAACAACGGAUCUCUUGGCUCUG